rnacentral:tRNA from 1 species
GCCGAGGUCGCCUAGCCUGGUAGGGCGCGCGCCUGGAAAUUGUUUAACCAUAAAGCGCGUUCUCGCAAGGGAACGGGAGUUCAAAUCUCCCUCUCGGCG